AGAUUUUGGUUCUGACCAUCCAAGGGAAAGCACACUCUUCCUGAGAAAAUAUCAAAUCAGUGUGCAAGAAAAGAGGAGGAGCUCUCACCUAUAUUAUAUACCUCCAUGGCAUCUUGAUAGAAAAUACAGCUCAUGUUCCACCAUAUUGCUAGAUAACAGCACAGUCAGCCAGCCUGAUCUUAG